UGUCUAAACACACAGCAAGGAUGGUCAGGUCAGCAAGAGCCAUUGGCGCCUUUGUCUGGCCCUCUGCAGGACAGGGCCGUGUGAGGAGGCUCCUGGAGUCUUGAAAAUAUGACAUUGGACACGACGUAUGAAUCACAUCCUGCUUCAGCGAGCUUUUGAGGAGACGUUGCAGAAAACAGCUUUACAAUGCGGGGGCCUGUGUGCAACUUGCCGUCAGUGCUGAGGCCAGGGGCACGAGGCUUCCAGAAGCACCUUCCACACAGCGAGAAAAAAAGAAAGACUGAUGCUCUGCAUCUACUCCUGGAAUAUGUGCUAGCCCCGAGGUCGACACCCUGAACUUCUGGGACCCCAGGAAUUCGGGAUUCAGAGAGGCCAGUUCUGCUGGAGACAGUUCCACACCAAGGAUGCUUAGAGGAUGACUUUCCCAAGGACACAGUCCCUAUCUUCUAGGUUCCUGGACUCCAUAUGGAAAUGAUUCUAACCUGACAUGCCGGGUACUCCUAAAACGAAGUUCUAGAACCCACAGCCAUUGAACAGGGCUCUAGUGGCAAAGCAAUGCCCUGAUCGUUUGCUUGUCUAUUUUUUGAGGCAGGGUCUCCUGCCACCCAGGCUGGCCUUGGACUCACUCUAUAGUUAAGGAUGAUCCUGAACCUCUCACCCUGCCUCAGCCUCCUGUUGGGGUAACUGGUGCAUUUCCCAAAAGCAAGACUAUUUCUUUAUGGACUCCAGCAUACGUUCAGAGUGUGAAACUUGACCCUGAUUUUGCAUCCUGUUACUUGACCUAUAGACAUCACCCUGUUUGUACCUGCCCAUUAAUGCCUUCUUAGCAGAGGAAACCCUGGUUCCAUGGCCGCCUCUCUCAGGCUCCUCUGAUAGGAAGCUGCCCUUGAGUCUUUGUAUUUUGUCUUUCAAGAAACAUGUAUCGGAUGUUUCGUAAAAUGUCAAA